rnacentral:rRNA from 1 species
GUAGUCAUAUGCUUGUCUCAAAGAUUAAGCCAUGCAUGUCUAAGUAUAAGCAACUAUACGGUGAAACUGCGAAUGGCUCAUUAAAUCAGUUAUCGUUUAUUUGAUAAUACCUUACUGCUUGGAUAACCGUGGUAAUUCUAGAGCUAAUACAUGCUGAAAAUCCCGACUUCGGAAGGGAUGUGUCUAUUAGAUAAAAAACCAAUGCCCUUCGGGGCUUUUUGGUGAUUCAUGAUAACUUUACGGAUCGCAUAGCCUUGCGCUGGCGACGGUUCAUUCAAAUUUCUGCCCUAUCAACUUUCGAUGGUAAGGUAUUGGCUUACCAUGGUUUCAACGGGUAACGGGGAAU